rnacentral:tRNA from 1 species
GGCUACGUAGCUCAGCUGGUUAGAGCGCACGACUCAUAAUCGUGAGGUCGACAGUUCAAUUCUGUCCGUAGCCACCA